CUCCGAUGAUGGUCCGGAACCUAAUGUUUCUGAUAAAGGUACCACAUUUCCGGAAUGUAGGUGCCAUGUCGGUACUAGAUUUCAAUAAUAGUAUUGCCCUAAAAUAUAAACAAACUCGCUCCAAAGAAACACAGAAAUUUGAUUGUUUUACAUGCCAAAGCUGGAUUCGAGAGCGCAAUAAACUUCAAAUUUACUUAUCCUACCACUUUGAUCUAGCUCUUUUCCAAAUAGAAAGGUUUAUUCAUGUUUUAUAACUCGUGUCACACACACAUGUGACCAGCCACACGUGAUUUGGUUAUAUGACUUAUAUAAGGCCAAAAAAAAAUAUAUGUCUGUUUCCUGUUUCCCGACCGACCCUGACUCAAAGCCCCCGACCCUAGAUCUUUUUAUUCAAUUCCGGAAAAAAAUCGUUUCCGGUCCGGAAAAAUUCGUUCCGAUCCAGAUCCGUAUUUUACUAUACCCAAACAAUCAAAAUGGCUGCUCCCAGCACAAAAGUGCUACAAUUAAGGUUUUAAAAAAUGUCGGCACUGGGAGGAUUAUUCAAUUAAAGCUUCUUUAAAGAGAUUAAAUGAUUUUAGGGUACAGGACCCUAACCAAACAUGACAUUUAACCAUCUGCAAAUCUGACAGGGAGUGCAAAAAUAAUAAAAAAAAAAAAAAAAAAAAAAAAAAAAAAAAUCCCGACCUACCGACCCUGAUUUUUUUGCCUUGGCAGCAGGAAACAGACAUAUAUUUUUUUUUGGCCUAAUACAAAUUUGACAAUUGAGCGAUUGGGGAUGUAUAAAGAUGUGAAGUCUGUCUGAAAAGGUAUUUUUUAUCCAUUGGUUACUUUCAGCACAGAGAUACUAUAAUUAUUGAAAGCAACUUGGAAAAGAAAUUGAUAACAGGAUGUUUUUAAAAUGUAAACGAUGCACACAAAUGCUAUAAAAUAUAGAACAAGGAUCCUUGUAUAGAAUUGUAUAUGAGACUACAUGAACUGUACUACAACCUUGUGAUAACACAUACAGUAGUCCCAGAUUCUAUAUUGAAUCUGUGGCAUAAUAUACAAAAAAAGUUUUAUAUAUUUUAAUAUACUAGUGGUCCUGAUCUUGAAUAUGCAUGAAUUUGAAAUAUUUACCACUGGACUUUUAAGCAUUCAGCAAGCAAAAUAUAUAGUAUUCUCAGAUUGAACAAAGGAUUUGUCUUACUGUAUAUACAUCCUUGAUUGAACUGAGAAAAUAAAGUGUGAAAGUAAUCUUUGAUGGCUGUAAGUAUUCGUAUAAUCUUAUAAUCCCUAAUCAUGCUAAUGGCUGUACACCUACAUAUAUAUACAUUUGAAUAUAUAUAUUAUGUACAAAUAUCAUUUAGAAUGUCAAUUUCUGCAUUAUGAGCUAUUAACAUCAAAGAAGAUAAAUGAAAAUUGUAUGUGCAUUGUAAUAUCACUGUAAUGCCAAGAAUAAAAUAGGUACAUGUGCACCCAUGAAGACAUUAGAUUGUGAUUGCACAUCUUAACACUAUAAUGCUAAAGUAAUUUCUGUUUAAAUCUUUCACAAAUUGUCUAUAUAUAUAAAAAAAGGAUAUUUAAAGCUUAAUAUACAAAAAAAUGUAAGACUUAGUAUGGUAAUUGACUUUGAUAACUUUAUGCUGAUCCAUGCAUAAUAAGAUCGAAGAAUGAGGGGAUGUUGGGGGAUACAUGUUUAAAAUUGUUCAAAUGUCAACUGAAUGACAAAGUUAUCCUGUAGCAAUGAUACAGCUGUUCAAUCUAUGGGAUCCAGUUGAAAAUAUACACUGCAAUUGAAUAUGAUAAUAAUAAAACAAAAAAAAACCACUUAAAAAAUGCAACAAUAUCAGUAUGGCUAAAAUAACAACAGGAAAAGAGAAAAUACUGAGAUCAUGAGAUAAAGCUCACAGUGCAAUUUGUACUAGUCAUCUACUCUAAUAGUUCAAUUAGUUAUGAGACACUACUAUUACUACAGUUGACUACAGCAACAUCAUUUUACAACAAAAACAGUAUGAUUUUGUGCUAUUCUGGCCAUAAACAUUUACAACACAAAGUUUGAUUUUUUUUUUCUAAAAACUACCUGCAUGAGUUGAGAUUUGAAUUCCUAGGUUUUAGACAAUGAGAUUCACCAACAUUGCUAUCUGAAGAUGUGGAAGUAAUUCAUCAACUUUGUGAAACCAUUUUUGAAAAUCUGAUUCAUGUUUCCCCAUAAUUCUGACUGACAAUAACAGAAUAUCAUGUACAAAGUUCUGAGAAGGAGUAACCAUGAUAAUAUAAAAAAGAAGAUGUGGUAUGAUUGCCAAUGAGACAACUAUCCACAAAAGACCAAAAUAACACAGACAUUAACAACUAUAGGUCACCGUACGGCCUUCAACAAUGAGCAAAGCCCAUACCGCAUAGUGAGCUAUAAAAGGCCCCGAAAAGACAAUGUAAAACAAUUCAAACGAGAAAACUAACGGCUUUAUUUAUGUAAAAAAAUUAACGAAAAACAAAUAAGUAACACAUAAACAAACGACAACCACUGAAUUACCCCUUCUUUCUGGGUUGCAUAUUAUGAUUGUUAUGUACAGUGCUUAUAUAUCAUUGUAUAUUGAUAGGUUUGGAUCCAUUAAAACGUUUAAUCCCGCUGCAAAUGUUUGCACCUGUCCUAAGUCAGGAAUCUGAUGUACAGUAGUUGUCGUUUGUUUAUGUAAUUUGUACUUGUUUCUCGUUUUUCUAUUUUAUAUAUAUGUAUAUUUCAGAGAUUAUACAGAAACAUUGUGAAAAUAACAGUAAGAUAAUCCUGAUAUUCAGAAGAAUUUCAGCUCUAUAAUUUAAGGUAAUGCAUGUUCUACUCAGAAAAUUGUUUAAUAAUGAUUUCUUGGAGUGAAUUCUUGGAGAACUAUAUUUUUCUCUAAUUCUGCAUCAGUUAAUAACUAAUUUGUCUUGCUACUACAUGUACUAAAUAGAGUUUAAUUGGACUAAUUCUACUAGUUGUUUGAUUUGAAUUAAUCUGCUUGCCUAUAUGUUUUAAUACAUGUAGGUUGGGAAUCUUGAAUAAUGUCAUAUUACUCUGACAUAUUUGUGACGUCAUUGAAAAAAGAAAACAUUGACCAUGUAACACUUAAAACUAAAAAUAUUAUUAAUCAGUGAAAUCAACAGGAAAACAGAUUUUUAUGCCCCAUCUAAGGACAUUACGUUUUUUGAUUUGUGCAUCUGUUUGUCUGUUUGUCCCACUUCAGGUUAAAGUUUUUGGUCAAGGUACAUGUAGUAUUUGAUGAAUUGAAGUCCAAUCAACUUGAAACUUAGUACACAUGUUCCUUAUAAUAUGAUAUAAUCUUUCUAAAUUAAGUGCCACAUUAGAUUUUUGACUUCACUUUCACAGUUCACAUAGAAAAUGAUAGUGGGAGUGGGGCAUCCAUGUACUAUGGACACAUUGUUUAUCUGUAUAACAUAUCUUGAGAGAAAAGCAUGUGUAUUGCAUACAUAGUAAAAAAAAAAGUAAUAUUUAUGAUUUAAUGCUAGAGAAGACCAACUAAUGAGGAAUCAUAAACAUAAGGAUUUAUUUAAACUGUAUAAGUACUGACCUGUAUGCUAAGAAAAGGUUAAAUGAAUAAAUUAUUUAACUCUAAAAUCAACAAUGACUAUUUGUAUAAGACCUUUAAAUUUAAAGAAUUAAAGCCCUUCAAAGUUAACAUAACAAUGUUCAGUCAUGCAGUCUGUUUAAAUUCCAAGAAAACGAAUAUAAUUCAAUGUAAGUUGUAUAUUUUCUGACACAGAAUGGCAUCUAUUAAAGAAGCUGUUAGACACAGGGGAUAUGAUUCUAUCAGGAAUGAAGGUU
rnacentral:lncRNA from 1 species